UACCAAGGCGUCGACGGGUAGCCGGCCUGAGAGGGUGAACGGCCACAUUGGGACUGAGAUACGGCCCAGACUCCUACGGGAGGCAGCAGUCGGGAAUAUUGCACAAUGGAGGAAACUCUGAUGCAGUGACACCGCGUAUAGGAAGAAGGUCUUAGGAUUGUAAGCUAUUGUCGUGUGAGAAGAAAAUGACCAUCACAGGAGGAAGCCCUGGCUAAAUAUGUGCCAGCAGCCGCGGUAAUACAUAUGGGGCGAGCGUUAUCCGGAUUUAUUGGGUGUAAAGGGUGCGUAGGCGGGAAAAUAAGUCAGUAUGUGAAAUCCCUCGGCUCAACUGAGGAACUGCAACUGAAACUAUUUUUCUUGAGUGUUGAAGGGGAAAGUGGAAUUCCUAGUGUAGCGGUGAAAUGCGUAGAGAUUAGGAGGAACACCAGUGGCGAAGGCGACUUUCUGGGCAACAACUGACGCUGAGGCACGAAAGUGUGGGGAGCAAACAGGAUUAGAUACCCUGGUAGUCCACACCGUAAACGAUGGAUACUAGGAGUUGGCAAAAAUAUUGUCGGUUCCGCAGUUAACGCAUUAAGUAUCCCACCUGGGGAGUACGACCGCAAGGUUAAAACUCAAAGGAAUUGACGGGGGCCCGCACAAGCAGUGGAGUAUGUGGUUUAAUUCGAAGCAACGCGAAGAACCUUACCAGGGCUUGACAUAUACAGGAAUAUAUAAGAGAUUAUAUAGCUCUACGGAGUCUGUAUACAGGUGGUGCAUGGUUGUCGUCAGCUCGUGUCGUGAGAUGUUGGGUUAAGUCCC
rnacentral:rRNA from 1 species